rnacentral:rRNA from 1 species
AUUGAACGCUGGCGGCAGGCCUAACACAUGCAAGUCGAGCGGAUGAAGGGAGCUUGCUCCUGGAUUCAGCGGCGGACGGGUGAGUAAUGCCUAGGAAUCUGCCUGGUAGUGGGGGAUAACGUCCGGAAACGGGCGCUAAUACCGCAUACGUCCUGAGGGAGAAAGUGGGGGAUCUUCGGACCUCACGCUAUCAGAUGAGCCUAGGUCGGAUUAGCUAGUUGGUGGGGUAAAGGCCUACCAAGGCGACGAUCCGUAACUGGUCUGAGAGGAUGAUCAGUCACACUGGAACUGAGACACGGUCCAGACUCCUACGGGAGGCAGCAGUGGGGAAUAUUGGACAAUGGGCGAAAGCCUGAUCCAACCAUGCCGCGUGUGUGAAGAAGGGCUUCGGAUUGUAAAGCACUUUAAGUUGGGAGGAAGGGCAGUAAGUUAAUACCUUGCUGUUUUGACGUUACCAACAGAAUAAGCACCGGCUAACUUCGU